AACGAACGCUGGCGGCAGGCCUAAUACAUGCAAGUCGAGCGCCCAGCAAUGGGAGCGGCGCACGGGUGCGUAACGCGUGGGAAUAUGCCUUUAGGUACGGAACAACCAAGGGAAACUUUGGCUAAUACCGUAUAAUAUCUUCGGAUCAAAGAAUUUCGCCUAAAGAUUAGCCCGCGUCUGAUUAGCUAGUUGGUGGGGUAAAGGCCUACCAAGGCGACGAUCAGUAGCUGGUCUGAGAGGAUGAUCAGCCACACUGGAACUGAGACACGGUCCAGACUCCUACGGGACGCAGCAGUAAGGAAUAUUGGACAAUGGGGGCAACCCUGAUCCAGCCAUGCCGCGUGAGUGACGAAGGCCUUAGGGUUGUAAAGCUCUUUUGGUGGGGAAGAUAAUGACUGUACCCACAGAAGAAGCCCCGGCUAACUUCGUGCCAGCCGCCGCAGUAA
rnacentral:rRNA from 1 species